ensembl:lincRNA
UACUGAGCUGGGAGACUGAGAAAUUUGACUCUGAUCCUCAUCUAUUUGCAUCCUCAGCUUUUUUUUUUUUUUUUCCAGUUGCAAGGAAACAAGCAUUCUCCAUGAUCAAGCCAGAGAGAGAAGGUAAAGGGACAGAUGAACUGGUAUCCAAGCUCCUCCAACUCUACCUGCCAUCCCAGAGGCAAACCCACAGCCCCAAGAUUGCAAAGCUAGUGGGACCUUCUGGCCAGGCAGCCACGCCAGGCCGAACUGGGCCCAGAGACUAUGGUAGCAUGGAGCCUGAGGAAGGGGCCAGGCCGGCCCCUGGUUGAACCUUGGAAAGCACAACCACAGACCACAAAAAUCGUCAGGAGAGAAAAACAGGCAGUGGGGGUAUCUGGAGAACUUUCCGGGACCAUCUAGAAGUGGACAGGGGCUGAGUAGGUGCUUUCCAAUUUGCUGAGGCUCUCAGAUGCCAAGGGGUAUGUCUGGAUCUCAAAGAAGCCAUUCCUGCAAUCUGCCAAUGGUUGGGUAAGGAAAGCCCACCUCCUCGUUGCAAAGCCAGCUCUGCAUCUGGGCAUCUUGGUGAGAACUCUGGUGAGCGGGAAUAGGGUCAGGUAGGCCAUGCCCUAAUGAGCACCAGAAAGGGUUUAUCUCCCCUGACUGCUGCCGCCGGACCAGCCUGUGGUUCCUCUACUUGACUAACCUUUAUCUGGACAUCAAAGGCUUUUCAGAGUGAUCCUUCAAAUCCAGUUGGCAUAGACUCAGGGGGGAUUGAAAUCCUCCCCUGAGCACCACUUGCAGGAGAGACGUGGGACCUACCGAGGGCCGGGCUUUGGGCACGGUAGUCUGCACUUACUGCCACACUUGAUUCUAAUAAUAGUCCAGUGAGGCAAGCACUGUUACCAUCUUCAUCUCAUAGGUUAGGCAACAGGAACCCAGGGAAUUAAGCAGUCUACCUGAGGUCAUCAAGUGUGGGAGAGAGCAGAGAAGAGCGCCCACAGUGUUUGGGCUCCAAAACCCUCUCAGGCAGGAGAAUUUUUAGUCUGAGGAACGAGAUCUAAGAAGAAAAAGUAAAGUGAGGGUAAGCAAGCUCCACACUCUCAUGUGGAGCAGUCCAGCUUCUGGUCCACCCACAUUUGGGCUCCCAGCACCCCCAGCAAACUCAGGACUUACCCAGCACUGAUGGAAUCUGUACAGAAGGUUGGAGCCCAGGCAUCUGGUUGUUACAGUUCCUCAGGGGAUUACAAGGUAGGGCCCAAGGUUGAGAACCACUGAUCCAGUUCAUUCUCCUCAUUUUAUAGCUGGGGACAUUGAGCCCAGAUGGGUGGAGCUUCUUCCCCAAGGAUGGGGAACCCAAACACAGAGGAGUCCAAACCAGGUCUUCUAAGUCUACAGCAGCCAGAACUGGGUUUCAGGACCACCCUUCCCACUUACCAGCCAUGUGCCCUUGAGCAAAUCAUCUACCCUCACCAGGAAAUGCUUAAAAAUACAGAAACUCUCGGGAAGUGGACUUGGCUCAAUGGAUAGAGCAUCUGCCUACCACAUGGGAGGUCCACGGUUCAAACCCAGGGCCUCCUGACCCGUGUGAUGAGCUGGCCCACACGCAAUGCUGAUGCGCUCAAGGAGUGCCGUGCCAUGCAGGGGUGUCCCUCACGUAGGGGAGCCCCACAUGCAAGGAGUGCACCCCUCAAAGAGAGCUACCCAGCAUGAAAAAAAGUUCAGCCUGCCCAAGAAUGGCGCCGCACACAUGGAGAGCUGACACAGCAGGAUGAUGCAACAAAAAGAGACACAGCUUCCCAGGCCAUUGACAAGAAUAGAAGUGGACACAGAACAACACACAGCGAAUGGACACAGGAAACAGCAGGGGCGGGGGCAGGGGAGAGAAAUAAAUAAGAAAUCUAAAAAAAAAUACAGAAACUCUUGAG